AGUUGGCCGAGCGGUCUAAGGUGCCAGUUUUAGGCACUGGUCUUCGGACGAGGGUUCGAAUCCCUUCCU
rnacentral:ncRNA from 14 species